UAACUGCGCACUUGUAUGCCAACAUGGAUAACAUAAAACAGUUUGCAGUUAAAAGAAUAUUUACCCAGAAAGGAUAAUAAUAAUGAUGAUGAUCCAGAAUGAAGGAAACAUUGGUGCACAUAGAAUAGCUGGAUCAGUAUAAAAGGACAGUUGUAUGACUUGUUAAAACAUAUUAAGCACGAGUAUUCGUUUACGACUGUUUGUUUACACAAUGCUUAAGAAAGCUUAAUAUGUCUUAAUAUUGAAAAAAAUCAUCAAUAGAAACGACUGCUGAACGAUGUAUUAAACAUUAAAUACGAAUAUCUGCUUAAGUUUUUAAAUUCACACGGCCAGUGCUUGUUUAUGUACACAUUGAAUCCUUAGAGUCUCCGGAUUUAGUUUGCAAAUCCGGAAUUUUCGCAAACUCAGCUACCUUUUGCCUUUGACUUUUCUCUGAUUUUUUGACAUUAAACGAUAGUUCUAAUCCCAUAGAGUAAUAAUUGGUCGUUUUCUUCUUUAUAUGUUAAAGAAUGAAUUCAUGGGAGGUUUUCAAAGUGGGUCCUCCCAUGGGAGUAUUUUUUCCUCCCAUGGGAUUUUUGCUAACCCAUGGGAGGUCCCACGGGUGGAUUUCUCCCACUUAACCAGUUACGGGAGAAAAAAACCGUGGUUUUUUUCUAAAAUUUUCAAAUCAAAAUAUUUUAACUCAAAUUAAUAAUUUAUACAAUAAAAAACUGUUGUGACAUGA